CGCCCUGCCAACAGUCCUGGUGAUUACUACUACAAGAUUUCAACAAUUUGGAUUUGUAUAGAAAUUUUUCGUAAUACUAAAUAGCUGUAAUCUGCAUGAAAUGGUUGCAUACAUAUUAUAUGUACAUAUAUAUGUACAUACAGUAGCUCGGCUCUUCAUCCGUCCGACAUGCCUCAGGAACAAUGUAUUCUUAGCUACUUUGCAAACUUAAAUCCUUUGGCCGAACAGAUAGCUCAAGAUAUAGCUGAAGUGACUGCGGCCUAUGACCGUAUUUGGAGUACCCUAACUACUGCAGAACGCGACGCUAUUGUCGAUGACUCAAUCAUAAAGCCUGAAAUAUCAAUAUGGUAUUACAAAAAAUCUGAAAAUAUAAAUUGUUCUCCUGUUGAACAUGCAUUAAUUGUUAAAAGCAACCGGAAAGUAACGAAUAAUUUCAACCAAAAUACCAUUUAUGCCUUUAACGGGAAGAGCCUACAAACAUACAUACAUCAAAACACUUCACUGAAAGUUCUACAUGAUGAGAAUAUUGGGACCUACCGUGACGAACAUUCAUUUCCCUUUAGCUUCAAAACAAAAUCACAAAUAAAUAUUUCGGGGGCUUUCAAUAAUACUCCAAUCUUAGGAUCGCCUUUAGACGUUGCCAGUAAAGUCCUUCGUGUCGGCCAACAAAAUGCUUCUAAUAACCCAGCUCAAAAUCAAAAUUUAUCCAAGCCUAUUGCUUUAUGUUCAAGUAAAUUUGUAUGUAAUAAUGUAAUUAAUUUAUCUGCUAAAGAGAGUUUUGGAUCAAAAAUUACUUUAUUGACCAUAUCAACAGAGUCUAGCUUUCAUGAUAAUGAAUCUAGAGACCAGAUUAGUGAGAACUGUAAGUUACUACCUAAGGAUGUUCAAAUACCUAAAGGAUUCGACUUCUUAAGUAAUUGGUAGCAACUCUUAAACUAAUUUUUACAAUGACUGAAAUCAUAUUUUAGAAUAUGCCAAAUUAAUUAAUACCAAAAACGAAAAUAUUAUUAAG